rnacentral:rRNA from 1 species
GAUGAACGCUGGCUACAGGCUUAACACAUGCAAGUCGAGGGGAAACGACGGGGAAGCUUGCUUCCCCGGGCGUCGACCGGCGCACGGGUGAGUAACGCGUAUCCAACCUGCCUCUGACUGAGGGAUAACCCGUCGAAAGUCGGCCUAAUACCUCAUGGCAUCGUCUGCGGGCAUCCAACGACGAUUAAAGAUUUCAUCGGUCAGGGAUGGGGAUGCGUCUGAUUAGCUUGUUGGCGGGGUAACGGCCCACCAAGGCUACGAUCAGUAGGGGUUCUGAGAGGAAGGUCCCCCACAUUGGAACUGAGACACGGUCCAAACUCCUACGGGAGGCAGCAGUGAGGAAUAUUGGUCAAUGGGCGGGAGCCUGAACCAGCCAAGUAGCGUGCAGGAGGACGGCCCUAUGGGUGGUAAACUGCUUUUAGGCGGGGAUAAAGUGAGGGACGUGUCCUUCAUUGCAGGUACCGCAUGAAUAAGGACCGGCUAAUUCCGUG